GAUGAACGCUGGCGGCGUGCCUAACACAUGCAAGUCGAGCGAACAGACGAGGAGCUUGCUCUUUUGACGUUAGCGGCGGACGGGCGAGUAACACGUGGAUAACCUACCUAUUAGACUGGGAUAACUACGGGAAACCGGAGCUAAUACCGGAUAAUACAUUGAACCGCUGGGUUCAAUAGUGAAAGACGGUUUUGCUGUCACUUAUAGACGGAUCCGCGCCGCAUUAGCUAGUUGGUAAGGUAACGGCUUACCAAGGCAACGAUGCGUAGCCGACCUGAGAGGGUGAUCGGCCACACUGGAACUGAGACACGGUCCAGACUCCUACGGGAGGCAGCAGUAGGGAAUCUUCCGCAAUGGGCGAAAGCCUGACGGAGCAACGCCGCGUGAGUGAUGAAGGUCUUCGGAUCGUAAAACUCUGUUAUUAGGGAAGAACAGAUGUGUAAGUAACUAUGCCCGUCUUGACGGUACCUAAACAGAAAGCCACGGCUAACUUCGUG
rnacentral:rRNA from 1 species